rnacentral:tRNA from 2 species
GGUGCUAUAGUUCAGUGGUCAGAACACCUCGUUGUGGCCGAGGAAACGUGUGUUCGAUUCACACUAGCGCCA